rnacentral:tRNA from 2 species
GCGAGGAUUGUGGUGGCCGGCUGCUGAAAGAAAUUGAAGUCAGAUUGUUGGCCGCGACCUUGCUGGGUCUCAUUUGCCAGCAUUUUGCCAGCAUUUGCUAUUUGAGGCCGAAGCUAAGCCAAAUUGCGGGGGUUCGAGUCCCCUCCCUCGCACCA